UACGUAGGGUGCGAGCGUUAAUCGGAAUUACUGGGCGUAAAGCGUGCGCAGGCGGUUCGUUGUGUCGGCGGUGAAAGCCCCGGGCUCAACCUGGGAAUGGCCGUUGAAACUGGCGAACUGGAGUGUGGCAGAGGGGGGUGGAAUUCCGCGUGUAGCAGUGAAAUGCGUAGAGAUGUGGAGGAACACCGAUGGCGAAGGCAGCCCCCUGGGCUAACACUGACGCUCAUGCACGAAAGCGUGGGGAGCAAACAGG
rnacentral:rRNA from 1 species